rnacentral:rRNA from 1 species
GUGGGGAAUUUUGGACAAUGGGGGCAACCCUGAUCCAGCAAUGCCGCGUGCAGGAAGAAGGCCUUCGGGUUGUAAACUGCUUUUGUACGGAACGAAACGGUCCUGGUUAAUACCUGGGGCUAAUGACGGUACCGUAAGAAUAAGCACCGGCUAACUACGUGCCAGCAGCCGCGGUAAUACGUAGGGUGCAAGCGUUAAUCGGAAUUACUGGGCGUAAAGCGGGCGCAGGCAGUUUUGUAAGACAGGCGUGAAAUCCCCGGGCUCAACCUGGGAAUGGCGCUUGUGACUGCAAGGCUGGAGUGCGGCAGAGGGGGAUGGAAUUCCGCGUGUAGCAGUGAAAUGCGUAGAUAUGUGGAGGAACACCGAUGGCGAAGGCAAUCCCCUGGGCCUGCACUGACGCUCAUGCACGAAAGCGUGGGGAGCAAACAGGAUUAGAUACCCGAGUAGUCC